rnacentral:rRNA from 1 species
UACGUAGGGUGCGAGCGUUGUCCGGAAUUACUGGGCGUAAAGGGCGCGUAGGCGGCACUGUUAGUCAGGCGUGAAAGUCCUGGGCUCAACCUGGGAACUGCGCUUGAUACGGCAGAGCUAGAGGAUGGAAGAGGCUCGCGGAAUUCCCAGUGUAGAGGUGAAAUUCGUAGAUAUUGGGAAGAACACCGGUGGCGAAGGCGGCGAGCUGGUCCAUUACUGACGGCUGAGGCGCGACAGCGUGGGGGAGCAAACAGG